AGUGAACGCUGGCGGUAGGCCUAACACAUGCAAGUCGAACGGCAGCACAGUAAGAGCUUGCUCUUACGGGUGGCGAGUGGCGGACGGGUGAGGAAUACAUCGGAAUCUACUUUUUCGUGGGGGAUAACGUAGGGAAACUUACGCUAAUACCGCAUACGACCUACGGGUGAAAGCAGGGGAUCUUCGGACCUUGCGCGAUUGAAUGAGCCGAUGUCGGAUUAGCUAGUUGGCGGGGUAAAGGCCCACCAAGGCGACGAUCCGUAGCUAGUCUGAGAGGAUGAUCAGCCACACUGGAACUGAGACACGGUCCAGACUCCUACGGGAGGCAGCAGUGGGGAAUAUUGGACAAUGGGCGCAAGCCUGAUCCAGCCAUACCGCGUGGGUGAAGAAGGCCUUCGGGUUGUAAAGCCCUUUUGUUGGGAAGAAAAGCAGCAGGUUAAUACCCCGCUGUUCUGACGGUACCCAAAGAAUAAGCACCGGCUAACUUCGUG
rnacentral:rRNA from 1 species